CGGGGCUCCCGGUACUGCGUCCUUAGCAACCAGCUCUGUGAAAAUUCCUGAGAAAACACCCAAGCUGUGCACGACCCCUAGUGUGGCAGAACCACUGAGCCAGGUCCCCGGCCCUCAUGGUUUGCUUCUUGAGGCCACCAUUGAAACGGAGAAUUUAUUGGAGAAGGCCGAAGCAGUAACAUCGCAGGAAGGAUGACAGUUUGCAUGAACCGGCCAUUCUCACUCAGGAGAAGAAAACAAGGCAGAAACUCCACUCUCUGGCACCCAAAAAGCAGCCUGAUC